CGACUCGGACUGUUUUCAAGGAAAACCAGGACAUACACACCAAACGUACGACUGUUCUCCACGGCCUCCCUGUCUAUCUGUGCGAGGAUGUAUCUGGAUUCUUCAGAACCUGCACAGACGAGUCUGAUGAGCCAGAGCUUGAUGGGGUUGCAGUGGGCCUCCUUACUGUCACCAGUGACAAUAACACAAGUGCAGUUCACUACCACCCUGUGAAAAUCUCUGUGAUUAUUGAAAGUGAUGUCAUGGUUAGUCUCCCCAGACUUGGUGAUGCCUUCCUGGUAGUCUUUGGAUUCAUGUAUGCACUACACCUCAGCUACCCCAAAGCACUUACCAAGACUUUUGAGUUCAUUCAAAAGAUCUUACUUGGCCUAGAAAGUGGCAAACUGUCACCGAAGUUGCAGACCCUCAAGAAUGUUUUGAUGACCUAGAAACGGAAGGCUGCAGCGGUAUACCAUUAUAAAAGGUUCAACAUGUUCAAGUUAAAAGGUCUAUGAUCACGUCUUGCAGCUUUGCAAUGCAGCGCCAUCAUGUGAUCUGUUCAUGUAUGUUAUUGUGUUGUGUAUUAUGGAGGAAAAAAAGGCAGAGGUCAUGGUUCUCGGGUUGUUAUCUUUGUGCAGAUACAUUUUUUUUUAAAUUCUUUUAUGCCUCAUGUACGUGUUUCCUGUUAAUGUCAAUUUAUCAACAAUAUUUAACCCACUAUAGCGGUAAAGAUCAUCAUUAUCUUUUAAACGUAAAGAUACAAUUUAUUUUGGAAGUUUAACUUUGGUUGCAAAGUUGAAAUGUUUUAUUUGUUGUGCCCAUAUUCAUUCAAAUAA